CCUGGCUCAGAUUGAACGCUGGCGGCAUGCCUAACACAUGCAAGUCGAACGGCAACACGGUCUAGCUUGCUAGACUGGUGGCGAGUGGCGAACGGGUGAGUAACGCGUAGGAAUAUACCUUAAAGAGUGGGACAACUUGGGGAAACUCAAGCUAAUACCGCAUAUUAUCUGAGGAUAAAAGCUGGGGACCUUCGGGCCUGGCGCUUUAAGAUUAGCCU
rnacentral:rRNA from 1 species